CGCGGCCUAUCAGCUUGUUGGUGAGGUAACGGCUCACCAAGGCAUCGACGGGUAGCUGGUCUGAGAGGACGAUCAGCCACACUGGGACUGAGACACGGCCCAGACUCCUACGGGAGGCAGCAGUAGGGAAUCUUGCGCAAUGGGCGAAAGCCUGACGCAGCAACGCCGCGUGGGGGAUGAAUGCCUUCGGGUUGUAAACCCCUUUCAGCAGGGACGAAAAUGACGGUACCUGCAGAAGAAGCUCCGGCCAACUACGUGCCAGCAGCCGCGGUAAUACGUAGGGAGCGAGCGUUGUCCGGAAUUAUUGGGCGUAAAGAGCUCGUAGGCGGUUCGGUAAGUCGGGUGUGAAAACUCAAGGCUCAACCUUGAGACGCCACUCGAUACUGCUGUGACUUGAGUCCGGUAGAGGAGUGUGGAAUUCCUGGUGUAGCGGUGAAAUGCGCAGAUAUCAGGAGGAACACCAGCGGCGAAGGCGGCACUCUGGGCCGGUACUGGCGCUGAGGAGCGAAAGCAUGGGGAGCAAACAGGAUUAGAUACCCUGGUAGUCCAUGCCGUAAACGUUGGGCACUAGGUAUGGGAUCAUAUCAACGGAUUCCGUGCCGUAGCUAACGCAUUAAGUGCCCCGCCUGGGGAGUACGG
rnacentral:rRNA from 1 species